rnacentral:misc_RNA from 1 species
CUCCUUCCAUUUCCAUUCACCCCUUUCACUGUCUCUCUUCUAGUCUCGCUACCUCUCCCAGCAUGAGCAAGGGACCUGGACUCUUCUCCGAUAUCGGCAAGAAAGCUAAAGAUCUGUUGACAAAGGAUUACAGCUCCGAUCAGAAGUUCAGCGUCUACACUUUCAGCGAUGCCGGAGUGGCCCUGACAUCAACAGCUGUUAAAAACGGAGGGCUUUCUACUGGGGAUGUUGCAGCACUGUACAAAUACAAGAAUACUUUAUUUGAUGUCAAAGUUGAUACAGAGUCCAAUAUCUCAACAACCCUCACAAUCUAUGAGAUUAUUCCAUCCACUAAGACUAUUGCUUCAUUGAAAUUUCCUGAAUACAAUGCUGGCAAGUUGGAGGUUCAAUAUUUCCAUCACCAUGCAACCUUCACCACAGCCCUUGCUUUGAACAAAUCUCCUG